rnacentral:rRNA from 1 species
GAUGAACGCUGGCGGCGUGCCUAAUACAUGCAAGUCGAGCGAACGGACGAGAAGCUUUCUUCUCUGAUGUUAGCGGCGGACGGGUUAGUAACACGUGGAUAACCUACCUAUAAGACUGGGAUAACUUCGUGAAACCGUAGCUAAUACCGGAUAAUAUUUUGAACCGCAUGGUUCAAAAGUGAAAGACGGUCUUGCUGUCACUUAUAGAUGGAUCCGCGCUGCAUUAGCUAGUUGGUAAGGUAACGGCUUACCAAGGCAACGAUGCAUAGCCGACCUGAGAGGGUGAUCGGCCACACUGGAACUGAGACACGGUCCAGACUCCUACGGGAGGCAGCAGUAGGGAAUCUUCCGCAAUGGGCGAAAGCCUGACGGAGCAACGCCGCGUGAGUGAUGAAGGUCUUCGGAUCGUAAAACUCUGUUAUUAGGGAAGAAAAUAUGUGUAAGUAACAGUGCACAUCUUGACGGUACCUAAUCAGAAAGCCACGGCUAACUACGUG